GCCGCCGAGGGAAGUGCGACCUCCCGCCCUCUCCUGGCCCAGCGCCCCUGGCCAGCCCCGGGCGAGGCUCAGUGCCGCCGCCAGGUGAAGUUAGGACAGGCCGCGAGCUGUCGUCUUACGCAACCGGAGAUCCUGCAGCCCUAACAUAAAGGGAUGGGAGAAGCUUUCCCUCAAUACACAGGGUUUCCUGACAUACACUGGAAUUAGGUUGUGCCUAACCAAAGCGCUGAAGCACAAGCAGUUUCUAAAUAAAAGGAGCACAGACUACUAGUAGAAGUGAGAUAAAGCAAGCACAGAUUUUUGCAUACUUCAUCAAGAAGAGCUUCUUCGUCAAGAAGAGCUCCUUCAUCAGAUGCUUGUGCAAACCAUGAAACAGUGAUUUUUGUGCAGCUUUCAAGUUGUUUGCUUGUUUUUGUUCUGUUUUUCCAAUGAGAAAUUGAAUUCAGAGCAUACAGUUACUCUAAUAAAAUUGAACUCACAGUCAGCAGUUAUGUGUCUUACACAAAGUCAUUCUGAGAAUCCGCAAACAUCAGGCACCAGCUUUCCAGGACACAAAAGCAUUCUGUGGAGAAAAAAAAGGGUUGAAUAACAUGAACAGAAAUGGAUCCAUCAUUUUCAACUAGCCUGUACAGUUUGCCUUAAAAAUUGAUGCACAGCUGUAAUUACUGUGGCGCAGGAAAUGUAUUUCAGGGAGGGAGGAAACCUUCCACCCUUUGGAAAUCAUCCUCUUGGUUCACGAAGUUCCUCCAGUGCCCUAGGGCCACAAUGCAG